UAAGGGCGCACGGUGGAUGCCUUGGCACUAGAAGCCGAUGAAGGACGUUACUAACGACGAUAUGCUUUGGGGAGCUGUAAGUAAGCUUUGAUCCAGAGAUUUCCGAAUGGGGAAACCCAGCAUGAGUUAUGUCAUGUUAUCGAUAUGUGAAUACAUAGCAUAUCAGAAGGCACACCCGGAGAACUGAAACAUCUUAGUACCCGGAGGAAGAGAAAGAAAAUUCGAUUCCCUUAGUAGCGGCGAGCGAAACGGGAAGAGCCCAAACCAACAAGCUUGCUUGUUGGGGUUGUAGGACACUCUAUACGGAGUUACAAAGGACGACAUUAGACGAAUCAUCUGGAAAGAUGAAUCAAAGAAGGUAAUAAUCCUGUAGUCGAAAAUGUUGUCUCUCUUGAGUGGAUCCUGAGUACGACGGAGCACGUGAAAUUCCGUCGGAAUCUGGGAGGACCAUCUCCUAAGGCUAAAUACUCUCUAGUGACCGAUAGUGAACCAGUACCGUGAGGGAAAGGUGAAAAGCACCCCGGAAGGGGAGUGAAAUAGAACCUGAAACCGUGU
rnacentral:rRNA from 1 species